GCGGGCGUGGCGGAAUUGGCAGACGUGCAAGAUUUAGGAUCUUGUGCCGCAUGGCGUGCAGGUUCAAGUCCUGUCGCCCGCACCA
rnacentral:tRNA from 1 species